rnacentral:rRNA from 1 species
GUCAAGUGACUAAGUGCAUGUGGUGGAUGCCUUGGCGAUUACAGGCGACGAAGGACGUGAUAGCCUGCGAUAAGCUUCGGGGAGCUGGCAAAUUAGCUUUGAUCCGGAGAUUUCCGAAUGGGGAAACCCACCGAAAGGUAUCGUAUUCUGAAUACAUAGGGAUACGAGGCGAACCGGGUGAACUGAAACAUCUCAGUAGCUCGAGGAAAAGACAUCAACCGAGAUUCCGAAAGUAGUGGCGAGCGAAAUCGGAGUAGCCCUCGCGUUUUAGCAGUUUGUAUAUCAGAACGGAAUGGAAAGUCCGGCCACAGCGGGUGAUAGCCCCGUAUGAGAAAUGCAGAUUGUGGAACUAGGCGCGAAUAGAGUAGGGCGGGACACGUGAAAUCCUGUCUGAAUAUGGGGGGACCAUCCUCCAAGGCUAAAUACUCGUAAUCGACCGAUAGUGAACAAGUACCGUGAGGGAAAGGCGAAAAGAACCCCGGGAGGGGAGUGAAAUAGAUCCUGAAACCGCAUGCAUACAAAAAGUCGGAGCCGCAAGGUGACGGCGUACCUUUUGUAUAAUGGGUCAGCGACUUACAUUCAGUGGCGAGGUUAACCGAAUAGGGAAGCCGUAGAGAAAUCGAGUCCGAAUAGGGCGAAUAGUCGCUGGGUGUAGACCCGAAACCAAGUGAUCUAUCCAUGGCCAGGAUGAAGGUACCGUAACAGGUGCUGGAGGUCCGAACCGACUAGUGUUGCAAAACUAGCGGAUGAGCUGUGGAUAGGGGUGAAAGGCUAAACAAACUUGGAAAUAGCUGGUUCUCUCCGAAAACUAUUUAGGUAGUGCCUCAAGUAUUACCUGCGGGGGUAGAGCACUGUUUAGGCUAGGGGGUCAUGGCGACUUACCAAACCUUAGCAAACUCCGAAUACCGCAGAGUACAGCUUGGGAGACAGAGCACCGGGUGCUAACGUCCGGACUCAAGAGGGAAACAACCCAGACCGCCAGCUAAGGUCCCUAAAAUUGGCUAAGUGGGAAACGAAGUGGGAAGGCUAAAACAGUCAGGAUGUUGGCUUAGAAGCAGCCAUCAUUUAAAGAAAGCGUAAUAGCUCACUGAUCGAGUCGUCCUGCGCGGAAGAUGUAACGGGGCUAAGCCAGUUACCGAAGCUGCGGAUGCAUCGCAAGAUGCGUGGUAGGAGAGCGUUCUGUAAGCCUGUGAAGGUGGGUUGUGAAGCCUGCUGGAGGUAUCAGAAGUGCGAAUGCUGACAUGAGUAGCGUUAAAGGGGGUGAAAAGCCCCCUCGCCGAAAGCGCAAGGUUUCCUACGCAACGUUCAUCGGCGUAGGGUGAGUCGGCCCCUAAGGCGAGGCAGAGAUGCGUAGCUGAUGGGAAACAGGUCAAUAUUCCUGUACCGAUCAAUAGUGCGAUGUGGGGACGGAGAAGGUUAGCUCAGCCGGGUGUUGGAUGUCCCGGUUCAAGCCUGUAGUCGUGCCUGGUAGGCAAAUCCGCCGGGCUUAGAUGAGGGGUGAUAACGAGGAGGCUUGCCUCCGAAGUGAGUGAUACCCUGCUUCCAGGAAAAGCCACUAAGCUUCAGCUAUUGACGACCGUACCGCAAACCGACACUGGUGCGCGAGAUGAGUAUUCUAAGGCGCUUGAGAGAACUCUGGAGAAGGAACUCGGCAAAUUGACACCGUAACUUCGGAAGAAGGUGUGCCUUUAGUAGGUGUAGUUGUACAAACGAAGCCCAAUGAGGCCGCAGAGAAUCGGUGGCUGCAACUGUUUAUUAAAAACACAGCACUCUGCAAAGACGAAAGUCGACGUAUAGGGUGUGACUCCUGCCCGGUGCUGGAAGAUUAAAUGAUGGGGUGCAAGCUCUUGACUGAAGUCCCAGUAAACGGCGGCCGUAACUAUAACGGUCCUAAGGUAGCGAAAUUCCUUGUCGGGUAAGUUCCGACCUGCACGAAUGGCGUAACGACUUCUCCGCUGUCUCAACCGUGAACUCGGUGAAAUUGCAUUA